rnacentral:rRNA from 1 species
GACAGAGGGUGCAAACGUUGUUCGGAAUUACUGGGCGUAAAGCGCGUGUAGGCGGCUGCGCAAGUCGGAUGUGAAAUCCCAUGGCUCAACCAUGGAAGUGCACCCGAAACUGCGUAGCUAGAGUCUCGGAGAGGAAGGCGGAAUGCUUGGUGUAGAGGUGAAAUUCGUAGAUAUCGAGAGGAACACCAGUGGCGAAGGCGAGUCCCUGGACACUUCCUGACACUGAGGCACGAAAGCUAGGGGAGCAAACAGG